CAAAGAGGCAUGUUGGGCCUGACUUUGGCUCCGUUUGGCCUUUUGGCUGCAUUCCCACGAACAAAUUUUAGGGACUUAUUAAAAGUACAGGUAUAGCCGCAGCUGGCUCUUUCUGUUCUGGCUCUGUACGUCGACGACCUUCCAUCCCAGUUCGCUGCAUUAGAAUUCGUGAUGGAUUCUAGUUGUUCGUCAUCAUCAUCGUCGUUGGAAAUUUAAGUUGGAUUCUAGAUGGGGAUCAUAUGUAAACAGCUCUGUUUGGAUUCCGUGCUUCCUUACUUCCCAUAUCUUCUUAAAGAGUUGUAUGGAAUGUAAAGAAGUAUGGAGUGUUGACGGAGUGAAACGUUCUCAACCGCCUCAGCAUUCAUCACUACGAACUGAAAGGAAAUUAAACUAUUAGACGCCAUCUAGGGCCGAGAAUACGUCUUAGCUACUCAUGCGUCACAGCCGUUUUCACGGGGCAUAUUUCAUUCACUCAUCCAGAGAUCGUAAUUUAGACCUGAAACAGAAAACGAUCACCUCUGAUCCCGUACCCACCAUUGGUAUUGUAUCGGCUUGGAAGGCUUUGCGGCUAUGAUAGAUUUCUACGUGCACCAGCCACCAUAUAUACGGAGAGGUUCGAGCUCACUGCGCAAGGGACGCGAAUCCAGCGCCCUACCAACCAAGCUUUCCCGGCCCCUAAAAGUAUAUUUAAAGUGGCAAUCAAAUUACAAACAAUCUGACGUCUAUUAAAAAAUCGUGUUUCUCUGGUCAUUUAAAUCCUGAAACUGAUGGUUUCUUGAUUUAAAUGAAGUGAAAAAGAUUAGAAGUGACACAAAAAGUAUAAAUAUUCCCAAUUUUAUUAUUGAAUUUAAUGGUCCUUAUAGAAAUACAUCUUAAAAUUCUUAUAUAUAUAGAAAAAAAGUUAAGACUCCUACUGUGGAAAAUAUUAUGACUUUUUUUGAAAAUAAAACUUAUGAAAUCCGAAAAUAUUUUAAUGUAAUUUCAUGUUUGAAAAAAAAAAUUAUAUAAGAUGAUUCAACUUUUGCCCAAAUCAUUAUUUUUAGUAAAAUAAGUGCCACAAAAUUACA